UCUGUUGUACCUGUAUUUCAAAGGGCCGGCCUUGUCACGCUGAAUCACCCCGAGAACUACGUUAAGGGUACACGUGUCUGUGAAUGCUCAGCCACUUGCACGUUAAUUUCACAAGGAAGCUGUUCGGUUGAUCGUAUCAGCUUGGACCUUCGUUGUCGUAACGGACGGAGU